rnacentral:rRNA from 1 species
GUGAGGAAUAUUGGUCAAUGGGCGGGAGCCUGAACCAGCCAAGUCGCGUGAAGGAAGAAGGAUCUAUGGUUCGUAAACUUCUUUUGCAGGGGAAUAAAGUGCAGGACGUGUCCUGUUUUGUAUGUACCCUGAGAAUAAGGAUCGGCUAACUCCGUGCCAGCAGCCGCGGUAAUACGGAGGAUCCGAGCGUUAUCCGGAUUUAUUGGGUUUAAAGGGUGCGUAGGUGGUUUGAUAAGUCAGCGGUGAAAGUUUGCAGCUUAACUGUAAAAAUGCCGUUGGAACUGUCGGACUUGAGUGUAAAUGAGGUAGGCGGAAUGCGUGGUGUAGCGGUGAAAUGCAUAGAUAUCACGCAGAACUCCGAUUGCGAAGGCAGCUUACUAAGCUACAACUGACACUGAAGCACGAAAGCGUGGGGAUCAAACAGGAUUAGAUACCCUUGUAGUCC